rnacentral:lncRNA from 1 species
AUCUUGCAUUUCUUCCAGAGAAUGUUUCUUGCUGUGAACCCAUGUGCUCCUGGUCACGCAGCAAUAACUCUUACCGCUUCGCCAAGGCUCGGCCUCAGUGAAGAACAAAAACUAAAUUUCCAUCAAUUCAUAGCUCGAUCCCCAUAGUUAAGCCAUAACUCGAAAGAAAUGCAAUGUUUUAUCUAAUUCAGUUGAAUGUAUCAAGUUAUGUGGUAAUGACCUGCUUAUCAAUGAUUAUAUCAUUUAAGCAAUAUAGAGAUUGCUUAUUACCAAUCACACCUAUCUGAAGUUUUUGCCAAGUUGGUACCCUAUAAUCCUAACAACAAGUUCUUUUCAUUAGCCAGACCAAUUCCAUUCCACGUCUAGAAAAAAUUGAAACCUUAUAUCAGAUUGUGAGAAGAAAAACUUUACCUGAGAGAUAUACCAUUCAGUUGUAUUAUAGAUAUUGUAAUCAGCACAAAACAUGGGCAACAGGGUUAUCUAUCUGCACAUGUAAAUUUUGGAACGGUAGAUAAAAACAUUAACAAUAAAAAACACCAGAAUUUAGACAGUUUGACAUCAAGUGUAUUCUUUGAAACUCAUAGGAAAUAACAUAAUGUAUCUAAAAGCAAUAUUUGAGGCACCUCAAACAAAGCAAAAUCUAGGAAAGCGAUAGUGUAUCUACCAAGGUCGAAUCCUCUACUGAUGCAGUGCCGCUUUUUAAACUAUGGUUGUAUUGUCAGUGAAAAUCUGAUGUAGUUUCCACGUCUGUCAUUCUACCUCCAAUCCUGCUUCCUUCAGCAGUCAUGGCUUAAAGAUCCACAAUAUCAACAAGAUUGUGCAAAAAAAACAUACAAUUAGUCACCAAAUAUACUUUAAAACAUGAACAUUUAGAUGAAAGAAUUAACAGGUAAAGAUAAAUAUGUUAAUACAAAAUAGUAAGCAAUGCUUAAAAUUUUGUUGGAAAAGUAAGUUACAACUAAUACCAACAAGACUUACUGGUAAAAAUGAGUAAGAUUGAACAAAGAACAUAAUAAAUUACAAAAAGUUUUCUUAUUAAAUACCAAAAGAGUUCGUAAAAGUGAACUUAUGAAGGUACUAAUUUCGGUCCAUAGAGAAUAAGCAACCUAACAUUUAAAUGCAAAGUUAUAAAGCAUGUUAUUUUGGGUUGAAAUAAAAUGAUAGCGCAACUUUCUGUAGCAACUGACAGUACUUUGUAGUACUAACAUAGGGAAGCAUUUCAGUCUGCAGGACUACCUGACUCAAUGAACAUGCAGAACAACACAAAGAGAAGAAAAGGAACUUUUCUCCACCUGAAAGUCCAUUAACCUGCAUCUGCAUAUGUAACACAACUAUCACACUGGAAACAUAUAUCUAUCUAAUGGAAUAUAUCAUUAAGAGGGGAAUAGAAGUAGUACGUAGGUCCAGUGUAGUCCUGAACCCAUCUAGAAAUGGAAAGAAAGAUCAUUAAUAACAAGAUGAGAAAAGAAAUCUAGUUACAAGCUAAUUCUGCACGAUGAUUGUAUUAGUGCUGUAUAUUGUGUUAGAAACAAUAUUUGCUUGAACAAGCUAAUUCUUAAGAUCGCCCUGUAAUGUAAGGGGAACACGAAUCGUCUAAAAAUAAGUUACUUACAGAAAGAACAUCACAGAACAUGUACGGCUAAAAUAUGAUUUUCUCUGUUUUCCUCUUGAAGAUCACCGCUCUUCUGAUAGCAAUAGGAGAACUGGGAGUUGAAAUUGAAGAACUGUAGUAUACGUUGCAGCUGAAAAUGACUAUGAAAACCUUAACAAAUACUAACUCACCAUCAAGAACAGUAAAGCUUCAAAUUUUAUGGAUUGCAUCAGUGAGCCUGUCAUUCCGUCUAUAUCAAGAACAAGUAUAUGCUAGCUGACAAUGGCAAUCCCAAUUUAUAGUUAUUUGUAG